rnacentral:rRNA from 1 species
UACGGGGGGAGCAAGCGUUGUUCGGAUUUACUGGGCGUAAAGGGCGCGUAGGCGGUCGUGACAAGUCACUUGUGAAAUCUCCGGGCUUAACUCGGAACGGUCAAGUGAUACUGUCGGACUAGAGUACAGAAGGGGCAACUGGAAUUCUCGGUGUAGCGGUGAAAUGCGUAGAUAUCGGGAGGAACACCAGUGGCGAAGGCGACUUCCUGGCCUGUUCUUGACGCUGAGGCGCGAAAGCUAGGGGAGCAACGGGG